rnacentral:lncRNA from 1 species
UUUAUUUUUUAGUUGUAGUUGGACACAAUACCUUUACUUAUUUAUUUUUAUGUGGUGCUGAAAAUUGAACACAGGGCCUCACAUGUGUUUUUUUGUACUCUACUGCUAAGCCAUAACCCCAGCCCCUCUGAUAACUACUUUUGGAAUAAUACUUUAUUCCAAAACAAGUUGCAAAAAAAAGUGUUUUACAAGUACCACAUCUUCAUCUCUUACAUGUUUUUACAAAUAUUACCUGGAGAGAGAAAUAUCAAAACAUAAACAAAGGAAUUGGCUGCCAAUCCAAUCCAUAUUGUUACACUAUGCUGCAUUUCUAUUUUUCCCCUGAACUGUUUUCUACCAUGAACUGCUACAUUUAAAGUGUAUUUUGUAUUUUUUAAAUUUCUUUGUUUAAAUUUGAUUAAAAAUAGACGUGUAAGGGAUUUUGUUUCUUAUCAAACUUUUCUGAAAAAAUUAUUAUCUGAGUCAUACAAGCACACACAACACACACACACGAAUCAACUCUAAGUAGCAUCACUUCUUACACAAGAUAUAUAAAAUGAAAAUAUUCUCAGUUUUAAAUGUGUAUGUUCAAUCUUAUCUAUCUAGAAAAUGCUAUGCAUAACACCUAAGCAAAUGAAAUCAUAAAAUUCAUAAUCAUGUUUGUAUGUUGACCUUUAGCCUUCUUCCAGUAAUUGAACACAUUUUCAAGAUAUUUAGGUUCAAAUUUAAGUAGUUAGCUUUCAGCACAUGUUAACUUUUAGCAAUUAUUGGUCAACUAUAACAUUUAUGCUCACAAAUUUAAGAAAAAAAAAUGAUCUGUGAGUCAACAAUGAG